rnacentral:rRNA from 1 species
CAAUAGCGUAUAUUAAAGUUGUUGCAGUUAAAAAGCUCGUAGUUGGAUUUCUGAUCGAGACAUCAGGUCGGGUCCGAGAGGAUCAUGUACUUUGAUUUUGUUUUGAUCAUCCUUGGGGAGAGCAUUUCUGGCAUUCAGUUGUCGGGAUUGGGAUCCUCAUCGUUUACUGUGAAAAAAUUAGAGUGUUCAAAGCAGGCCUCGGCCUCUGAAUACAUUAGCAUGGAAUAAUAAGACAGGACUUUGGUGGUCUAUUUUGUUGGUUUGCACGCCAAAGUAAUGAUUAAUAGGGAUAGUUGGGGGUAUUCGUAUUCAAUUGUCAGAGGUGAAAUUCUUGGAUUUAUGGAAGACGAACUACUGCGAAAGCAUUUACCAAGGAUGUUUUCAUUAA